GAGCUGACAGCGCUUGCGCUCCCCCUACUCGUUCUAAUUCCACGCGCUCCAAAAUAUCCGCCAUGGAGAAAUCCUGGCCAGGAUGUCCAUUCUAGGCCCAUCGAUGCUGUCUUGCUGAAGGUUGGGUCAGGCAUCUAAAGGGACUGUGGUAAGGGAGGGUGUGACACAGGUGUAAGCUGCCAUCGUCAUCAUGAACUUUGAGGGUCUGGACCCUGGACUGGCAGAGUAUGCCCCAGCCAUGCAUUCUGCCCUGGACCCUGUCCUGGAUGCCCACCUGAACCCAAGUCUGCUACAGAAUGUGGAGCUGGACCCAGAGGGAGUGGCCUUGGAGGCUCUUCCCGUCCAGGAAUCAGUGCACAUAAUGGAAGGUGUCUACUCUGAAUUGCACAGCGUGGUGGCUGAAGUGGGUGUACCUGUUUCCGUCUCCCACUUUGACUUGCACGAGGAGAUGCUGUGGGUGGGGAGCCACGGGGGCCAUGCCACUUCAUUUUUUGGCCCAGCCUUGGAGCGCUACUCAUCCUUUCAAGUCAAUGGCAGUGAUGAUAUUCGGCAGAUCCAGAGCCUGGAGAAUGGUAUCCUUUUUCUCACCAAGAACAACCUCAAGUAUAUGGCCCGUGGGGGCCUCAUUAUAUUUGAUUACCUGCUGGAUGAGAAUGAAGAUAUGCACAGUCUCCUACUGACUGACAGCAGCACUCUACUCGUUGGUGGGCUGCAGAAUCACAUAGUAGAGAUUGAUCUUAACACUGUCCAGGAGACUCAGAAGUAUGCAGUAGAGACGCCUGGAGUCACCAUCAUGAGACAGACAAAUCGCUUCUUCUUCUGCGGCCACACGUCUGGCAAGGUUUCCCUGAGAGACCUCCGUACUUUUAAGGUAGAACAUGAGUUUGAUGCCUUCUCAGGAAGUCUGUCAGACUUUGAUGUGCAUGGCAACCUGCUAGCUGCCUGUGGCUUCUCCAGCCGCCUCACUGGCCUGGCCUGCGACCGUUUCCUCAAGGUGUAUGAUUUGCGCAUGAUGCGUGCCAUCACACCACUUCAAGUACAUGUGGAUCCUGCCUUCUUGCGCUUCAUUCCUACAUAUACUUCUCGUCUUGCUAUCAUCUCUCAGUCAGGGCAGUGCCAAUUCUGUGAACCCACAGGCCUGGCCAACCCAGCAGAUAUCUUUCAUGUGAAUCCUGUGGGGCCUCUGCUAAUGACAUUUGAUGUGUCAGCCAGCAAGCAGGCUCUGGCCUUUGGGGAUUCUGAGGGCUGUGUGCACCUCUGGACUGAUUCCCCAGAGCCUUCCUUCAACCCCUACUCCCGUGAGACUGAGUUUGCUUUGCCGUGUCUCGUGGACUCACUGCCUCCUCUGGACUGGAGCCAGGACCUGCUGCCUCUUUCCCUCAUCCCUGUCCCACUCACCACUGACACACUUCUCUCUGAUUGGCCUGCUGCCAACUCUGCUCCAGCUCCCAGGCGAGCACCACCUGUGGAUGCAGAGAUUCUGCGCACCAUGAAGAAGGUGGGCUUCAUUGGCUAUGCACCCAAUCCCCGCACCAGGCUGCGCAAUCAGAUACCUUACAGACUCAAGGAGUCAGACAGUGAAUUUGACAGCUUCAGCCAGGUCACUGAGUCACCAGUAGGACGAGAAGAGGAACCACAUCUCCACAUGGUUUCUAAGAAAUACCGCAAGGUGACCAUCAAAUAUUCCAAGCUAGGGCUGGAGGACUUUGACUUCAAACACUACAAUAAGACCUUGUUUGCUGGAUUAGAGCCCCACAUUCCCAACGCUUACUGUAACUGCAUGAUCCAGGUGCUCUAUUUCCUGGAGCCUGUACGCUGUCUAAUUCAAAACCACCUUUGCCAGAAGGAGUUCUGUCUGGCAUGUGAGCUGGGCUUCCUGUUUCACAUGUUGGACCUCUCUCGUGGUGACCCUUGCCAGGGCAAUAAUUUUCUUCGGGCAUUCCGUACUAUUCCUGAGGCCUCAGCCCUUGGUCUGAUCCUGGCUGACUCAGAUGAGGCCUCAGGCAAGGGCAAUCUGGCCAGGCUCAUUCAGAGGUGGAAUCGCUUCAUUCUCACUCAACUGCAUCAAGAUAUGCAGGAGCUGGAAGUACCACAGGCUUAUCGAGGUGCUGGAGGCAGGUAUGAAAUCAGGAUAGAAAUAGUUAAAGCCAUCAUGACAGGCCCCUCUGUGAUUUAAAAGGUCUCCUAACUUCCUCAAUGUGCAUAUACCAUUCUCUCCACUCUUAGCAGCUUUUGCUCAUCGGGGGACUCUGUUAUUGGGCAGCUCUUCAGCUGUGAGAUGGAGAACUGCAGCCUCUGCCGCUGUGGCAGUGAGACCGUGCGCGCCUCAUCCACCCUGCUUUUCACACUCUCCUACCCUGAUGGUAGCAGAAGUGGUGUACCCUGCAGCUCAGUUGGGAAGGCUCCCCAAAAUGUCCUGUAAUAUCAGGGAGAGGGUGUUGGGGACUAACUGUGGGUAGAGGGGAGAACCAGGAGUAAAGCAUCUAAUUUUCCCUCAGAUAAAACUGGGAAGAACUAUGACUUUGCUCAGGUGCUGAAGCGAAGCAUCUGCCUGGACCAGAAUACACAGGCCUGGUGUGACACCUGUGAAAAGUACCAGCCCACG
rnacentral:sRNA from 1 species